AAGCCUAACUUACCAAUUUUGGUUUCCAUCCAGAUCAUUUUUUGGUGAAAGAAGCAAUUAAGCCUAACUUUUCAACCCAUUCCUCUGACGUGCAAAGUGCUGAGGAUUGAUUUCCACCGUUCUCUUCUAUCUUUACCAUUUUCUCUGAUUGCAAUCAACCCAAUGUUGGAGUCCAUCCAUCCAUCCCUCUGCUAAUUUCAUUUUUUGGUGACAGAAGAGAAACCAAAUUAAGUUUGCCAAACCAUAUCAUUGCUUUUAAACCAUUAUAAGUAGAACCAUAGCUUUUGCAUUCUCUUUGCCAUUACACUCCUUUGUUGAAGUCAUCGAUUGCCAAGGUAAUUACUGAAAUCAAAUCGCCGCCCAAUUUUGUGUUGUUCGCUGCAUUUUUUUCCUAAGUCAUUUGAAUAUUAAAAGAAAACCUAAACUAAAUCGCCAUUCCUACUUCCUUUUCAUCUUCUUCUUCCCCCUUUCUCUGCAUUCGGUAUUCUGCUUCUCUACUUCCUCCUCUAAAAACUUUUCCAGACAACAAUUUUUCCUUAAAUCAGGUACGCAUCGAAAAUACACAAAGCAAGAUGGAUAUAAUUGUUAUUUUCAAAAAUUCAAAAAUGGGGUGUUCCUGUUCAAUUAUUUGUUAGAAACUGUGCUUCACCAAUUUCCAGUUAAAUUGUAGUAGAAGAGGCUGCUUGUUUGGGAACUUUCCAAACCAUAAUAAUUACUACUACGGUCGAAGCCUAACAAAUUGGCAUUUGCUAUCUUCAAAAUUUCAGAGUUUUCCAUCCACUGUUUGUUGAAGAAUUCAAGUGAGAAGUCAUCAUGGCUGAAUUACUAUUAGCGCAUAUAUUUUUGUUAGGUGCUUUCGGAAUUGUCUGUGCUCACUUUGUUAACAUAACUAUUUUGGAGACUGCAAUUGCCAAAGGAGCAGUAUGCUACCCCUCCGGGCUUAUAGCCGAGGGUAUGGAGCGGAAAUUGACAACUGCCACAUCUAUUUACAGGGUGGUGGGUGAUGUCGGAAUGUUCUGACUGCCUUGCUAGGUCAAGAUCUGCAUUAGGAAGUGGUCCAAAACCUGACAACAUAUCUUUCGACGGGAUGCUUGAAGAUAAUUCCACCUUUAAUCGCGGCCCACAACCUGACUUUUAGGGGUGCAAGAAUCUACAAUGCCAUUAUGGGUGUUAUUAUCAGGUGGUUCAGCAGGGGGACUUGGCACAAUCUUACAUUGUGACAAGUUCAAAACAUUAUUGUUGAUACUACUAGGGUUAAGUGCUUAUCGGAUUUAGGAUUUUUUUAUUCAUGGAGAACAUUUUGUUGGGGCUGGCUGGAGAGAAAAUUGUUUCUUCGACGUGAUAUCAACACAUUUAUAUAUUCUUUACAUUAUUUCAACCCACUUUGUUACUUAAUCAAGUACAGUAUAUUUGAUCAAAAUUUUCCUCAUUUUUGCCAUGUGUAUAUACAGGGUUUGACGAAUUUGUUGCCUACCUCAUGCACAUCCAAAUUUAGUCCAACUCUGUGUUUCUUUCCAGAAAAUUUGGUCCAAGAUGUCAAAACUCCAUUAUUUCUAAUCGAAUCGGCAUUUGAUCGAUUUCAGGUAUGGGCAAUCUUAUUACUUUAAUAUUCAUUAAUUUCGUUGCUGUCACUAUAUAUAUGUAUAUGUAUAUGUAUUCUUUUCCAUUCUACUUUCAUGUUAUAGAUCUUAGAAAAUGUGUUCCGAGAUAAAACUUCAAGAUGGCACAAUUGCACAUCUGACUUGAUGCAUUGCAAUUUAACUGAGAUAUUUAUGAAGGGUAUAUUCAAGAUUUUUUUCACUAAUUUGGACUUAAAUUAAUAAGAAGCAAACUCUCAUAUUAAUUUCUCUAUUUUGUUUAGGUUUUAGGAAUACAUUCCUAAACACUUUACGAAUACAUUUGCUAAUAGCUCAUCGAGAAUAGGUUAUUUUGUACAUACCUGCUAUGCACAUGGCCACAUAUGUAGCAAAGACUAUUCAACAUGCUCAUCAUUUUCUGGACACAACGCGCUUGAUAAUAAGACGAUAGCACGAGCCGUGAGCGACUGGUUCUUUGACCGGAGUGAAUUCAAGCAAAUGGACAUUUGCAACGAUAUGCCACGGAACUGCACUGUCUUUAGAUGGCAUUCUUUUUUGCAAAAGUGUGCAGCAUGGAAUGCCAUAAAUUAAUAGCCUUUGGAUUUUGAUUUCUAUUUUCUAUUAAUGAAUGAAGGAUAAAGUUUUCAAUUAAAUGCAGCUUCUUAACUACAAGUUAAUUGCUCUGAAUUAAGAUCGUGAUAAUAGAUACAUAUGUAGCAAAGACUAUUCAACUUGCUCAUCAUUUUCUGGACACAACGCGCUUGAUAAUAAGACGAUAGCACGAGCUGUGAGCGACUGGUUCUUUGACCGGAGUGAAUUCAAGCAAAUGGACAUUUGCAACGAUAUGCCACGGAACUGCACUGUCUUUAGAUGGCAUUCUUUUUUGCAAAAGUGUGCAGCAUGGAAUGCCAUAAAUUAAUAGCCUUUGGAUUUUGAUUUCUAUUUUCUAUUAAUGAAUGAAGGAUAAAGUUUUCAAUUAAA